CGGAGAAUUGCUAGCUUGCUAAUAAUUCUCUAGUGGCGCACGGGUGAGUAACACGUGAGUACCUGCCCCCAAGAGUGGGAUAGCCCCGGGAAACUGGGAUUAAUACCGCAUAAAGCAAUAAAGCAGCAAUGCGCUUGGGGAUGGGCUCGCGUCCUAUUAGUUAGUUGGUGAGGUAACGGCUCACCAAGGCGAUGACGGGUAGCCGGUCUGAGAGGAUGUCCGGCCACACUGGAACUGAGACACGGUCCAGACACCUACGGGUGGCAGCAGUCGAGAAUCAUUCACAAUGGGGGAAACCCUGAUGGUGCGACGCCGCGUGGGGGAUAAGGUCUUCGGAUUGUAAACCCCUGUCAUGUGGGACAUUAAAAGAUAGUGCCACAAGAGGAAGAGACGGCUAACUCUGUGCCAGCAGCCGCGGUAAUACAGAGGUCUCAAGCGUUGUUCGGAAUCACUGGGCGUAAAGCGUGCGUAGGCGGUUUCGUAAGUCGUGUGUGAAAGGCGGGGGCUCAACCCCCGGACUGCACAUGAUACUGCGAGACUAGAGUAAUGGAGGGGGAACCGGAAUUCUCGGUGUAGCAGUGAAAUGCGUAGAUAUCGAGAGGAACACUCGUGGCGAAGGCGGGUUCCUGGACAUUAACU
rnacentral:rRNA from 1 species